rnacentral:rRNA from 1 species
GAUGAACGCUAGCGGGAGGCCUAACACAUGCAAGUCGAACGGGAUUGGGAGCUUGCUCCCAUGAGAGUGGCGCACGGGUGAGUAACGCGUAUGCAACCUACCUUUAACUGAGGGAUAGCCCAUAGAAAUGUGGAUUAAUACCUCAUAGUUCUUUUGGCCCGCACGGGUCGAUAGAUAAAGCACCGGCGUGUAAAGAUGGGCAUGCGUGACAUUAGCUAGUUGGGAAGGUAACGGCUUACCAAGGCUACGAUGUCUAGGGGUUCUGAGAGGAUGAUCCCCCACACUGGUACUGAGACACGGACCAGACUCCUACGGGAGGCAGCAGUGAGGAAUAUUGGUCCAUGGGCGCAAGCCUGAACCAGCCAUCCCGCGUGAAGGAUGAAGGCCCUAUGGGUCGUAAACUUCUUUUAUACGCCAAGAAAAAUCCCCACGUGUGGGGACCCGACGGUAGUGUAUGAAUAAGCAUCGGCUAACUACGUGCCAGCCGCCGCUGUAA